AAUGCCUAUCUUGUUUGUGCCAUCAGGCUGGUAUCGCGUGACACCGUCUCUUUGGGGACUUUCAAGCCCGCCCCACUCCCAGCCCUGAGCCUCGCUCCAGGACUCUCCCCUGCACCCCCUUCUUCUGGCCCUCCUCGCUCCAGGACUCUCCCCUGCACCUCUUUCUGGCCCUCCUCGCUCCAGGACUCUCCCCUGCACUCCCUUCUUCUGGCCCUCCUCGCUCCAGGCUCUCCCCCUGCACUCCCUUCUUCUGGCCCUCCUCGCUCCAGGACUCUCCCCUGCACUCCCUUCUUCGUCUCUCCUCGCUCCAGGACUCUCCCCUGCACCUCCUUCUUCUGUCUCUCCUCGCUCCAGGACUCUCCCCUGCACUCCCUUCUUCUGGCCCUCCUCGCUCCAGGACUCUCCCCUGCACUCCCUUCUUCUGUCUCUCCUCACUCCAGGACUCUCCCCUGCACCUCUUUCUGGCCCUCCUCGCUCCAGGACUCUCCCCUGCACCCCCUUCUGUCCCUCCUCGCUCCAGGACUCUCCCCUGCACCCCUUUCUGUCCCUCCUCGCUCCAGGGCUCUCCCCUGCACCCCCCUCUGUCCCUUGCUUGGCUGUCACAACUCAUGGGCUGUCCCACUGGCCUUUUCCAUCUCCUUAGCCACCCCCCACUCCCCGCCCCCUGCACCGCUCGCUCCCGGCUGUGUUUGCUUUGGUUUGUCUUCAUUUGGGCAUUUGGGCUUUUUCCUACUGCUCUUCUCUGAGCUUCCUGGACCAAAAGUUCAGUUCAGGGACGUUUGGUCCUUACGGGGUUCUGGGAGCGCGGCCAUGGCCCCAGCCUCCCUCCGCCCACCCCUGUGGUGGCGUCCUGCAGGUUUAACGGGUGCUAGUCCCACUUAUGCUCAUCUUUAAAUAGCAUGCAAUUUCCCUUCUGGUUUCCUUCGUGACCCCAAGUUUUAUAUAUAUAUAUAUAUAUAUAUAUAUAUAUAUAUAUAUAUAUAUAUAUAUAUAUAUAUAUAUAUGAGUGUUUUUAUUUGUGAUAUUGACUUCCAGGUAGAGACAUUUUUAAAGCAUAGACCUUGUUCUUAUUAAACUGCGUUGUGUUCAGCGAACAGAUUACAGGUCACACACGCAUAUGUUUUUGUACGAACGUGUGUGUGUGUGCACACUCAGUGAGCACACACAGAUUACCUAUCUGCCUUUGCAAUUUCUUGACAGUUUCCCUACGGUCAACAGAUGGCCAGUUUUCAUGGCUGUUCCAUGUAUGAUAGAACAUAAAUCAUGUAUUUGAGCAAGCCACAACGGAAAAAAUAAACUCAUGUUUAUUGUUUUAUUUCUUCCUUUU
rnacentral:lncRNA from 1 species